rnacentral:rRNA from 1 species
GAUGAACGCUAGCGGCAGGCCUAAUACAUGCAAGUCGAGCGAACACACGAGUGGGUUGCUCCUCUGUCUGUACCGCCGGACGCGCGCGGAACACGUACACAACCUACAUAUAAGAAUUGGAUAACGUCGAGAAACCGAAGCUAAUACCAGUUAAUAUAUGUAACCGCUUGCUUCAUUAGUGUAAGACGGAUUUUCUAUCACUUAUAGAUGGAGCGGCGCCGCAUUAGCUAGUUGGUAAGGUAACGGCUUACCAAGGCGACGAUGCGUAGCGGACCUGAGAGGGGGAUCGGCCACACUGGAACUGAGACACGGUCCAGACUCCUACGGGAGGCAGCAGUAGGGAAUCUUCCGCAAUGGGCGAAAGCCUGACGGAACACCGCCGCGUGGGUGAUGAAGGUCUUCGGAUCGUAAAACUCUGUUAUUAGGGAAGAACAAAUGUGUAAGUAACUAUGCACGUCUUGACGGUACCUAAUCAGAAAGCCACGGCUAACUACGUG